CAAGCCAGGUAUUAAUACAAUAAGGAGCAUCUGAAGAGAAGACUGGGGCCCAUUAUCAUUGCUACUGACCUUCAGGUCUUGGACCCUUCAUAAAGACGUUUAGAGUGAUGAUGAAUUUCCAUGAUGAAGAUGAAGGAUGGUGAAGUGAUCUCCUUUAUAUCUCCUCCCCUGCAAUGAUGGUGGCUCAGUAUCUGAUAAGAGAUUGGCUGUGAGGUCAUGAGACCUCUACAACCCAGCUGAUGGGAAACUGCUUAAAGGAUCAGUGCCUGGCUUGAAGUUCUAAUCACAGAUCCUGACCUGCAGGGAUCCCCAACAUCCCCGGGAUGCAGCCUGCUACAAACUGGAGGACACAGACGAGU